rnacentral:rRNA from 1 species
UACGGGGGGAGCAAGCGUUGUUCGGAUUUACUGGGCGUAAAGGGCGCGUAGGCGGCCACCGCAAGUCGACUGUGAAAUCUCCGGGCUUAACCCGGAAAGGUCAGCCGAUACUGCGGGGCUAGAGUGCAGAAGGGGCAACUGGAAUUCUCGGUGUAGCGGUGAAAUGCGUAGAUAUCGAGAGGAACACCUGCGGCGAAGGCGGGUUGCUGGGCUGACACGUGACGCUGAGGCGCGAAAGCGUGGGUAGCAAACAGG